UACGUAGGGUCCGAGCGUUGUCCGGAAUUACUGGGCGUAAAGAGCUCGUAGGCGGUGUGUCGCGUCGGCCGUGAAAACCUGCAGCUUAACUGUGGGCGUGCGGUCGAUACGGGCAUCACUGGAGUUCGGCAGGGGGAGACUGGAAUUCCUGGUGUAGCGGUGAAAUGCGCAGAUAUCAGGAGGAACACCGGUGGCGAAGGCGGAUCUCUGGGCCGAUACUGACGCUGAGGAGCGAAAGCGUGGGGAGCGAACAGG
rnacentral:rRNA from 1 species